rnacentral:rRNA from 1 species
CCUACGGGAGGCAGCAGUGGGGAAUAUUGCACAAUGGGGGAAACCCUGAUGCAGCGACGCCGCGUGAGUGAAGAAGUAAUUCUUUACGUAAAGCUCUAUCAGCAGGGAAGAAACACUGACCUUACGGUCAGCAGACGGUACCUGAGUAAGAAGCCCCGGCUAACUACGUGCCAGCAGCCGCGGUAAUACGUAGGUGGCAAGCGUUCUCCGGAUUUACUGGGGGUAAAGGGAGCGUAGACGGUGCGGCAAGUCUGGAGUGAAAAGCCGCAGCUUAACUGCGGAACUGCUUUGGAAACUGGCGAACUAGAGUGCGGGAGGGGUAAGCGGAAUUCCUAGUGUAGCGGUGAAAUGCGUAGAUAUUAGGAGGAACACCGGUGGCGAAGGCGGCUUACUGGACCGUAACUGACGUUGAGGCUCGAAAGCGUGGGGAGCAAACAGGAUUAGAUACCCUAGUAGUC